UAAAAACGAGACUAAAUGUGGUUUACAAAAUAAAAACUAUGCUAAAAUGUCUCUUCAUUUUCGUUGACCAAAACAAGAUUAAACAAAUUGUUUUAACAUUAUUUUCGUCUUGUUUAGUCGCGUUAUUAUUAUUUAGCAGUAUUUCUGUUUCUGCGCAGACGCGACCGACAUCACUUCCUCAAGCCCCACUCGCGACAUUAUUAAGAAGAUGACAAAAAACAAAGUUAAGCGGGAUUAAUACUUUCGCCUGGCUCCGCUGACUGCAAGCACACCUUCCCAAAUGGACGAGGCUUUUAUACUUGUCACGUUCGCCAUUGUACUAUUCUUUGAAAUGACAGGGGAGCGACGAGGAUUAGUUGUCCUCUAAAACCGUCGGGAAUCACCGGUGAGAAGAAGUCAUUUGCCAGUAUGGCCAGUACAAGUCUUGUGAUGAAUGAGUUGAUGAAUUAAUCAUUUCUUUAUGUACAAACUUAAAACAAUCUUAAACUAUUGGCUGUAUUACGCAUCAAACACAAGACAACUUUAAGCAAAUAGUGUAGAAUUAAUAUCUAAAUCAAUUCUAAUUCUAUUUUAUACAAUAAAAAUAAAACGUACUUCAAAUAAGAAGCCUUGGACAAACUAUGCAAACCUUUUUUUUCCCCAAAAAAAACAUUUUCCAUUAAAAAGCACCUGAUGGAGUUUGAACUUCACAUUAAAACGCUUCUGUUUCAUACAAACUCUGGCAUAGACGUGCAUGUUCGGCUAGAAUCGCCCUGAACUCAUGCAUGUUCGGAUGCGGAAAAUUACAAAAAAUGCCGUGCACUCCGCCACGCGAAUAAUUUGUGCACACUCAAAGCGAACUUCCGGCAACACCACGAUGACGGCAUAUUUUCCGCGCUCACCCAAGCGAAAUUGCGGACGCGUCAAGUAUAAAUUAGCCUUGACACAGAGAAAGGACCGAUGGCCGGCCAGCCGGGGUUUGUCUUUGGGAGAAAAAUUAGCAGAUUAUUAUAAUUUUUUAUGUUUAUAUUUAUUUUAUUUAAAUGUAUGUGUGUGUACAGUAGGUGGCCAUCCAAAACGUCGGUUCUACCGCCGCUCGUACCGCUGCCGCGGCGUCUGCAAAGUGCAUUUGCAGCUUUUGACCGCUGCUUACGCUCGCGCAUCAAAGCACAUUUUCGCAAAUAGACGUCAGCUUUGCCUCGCUGAUGUGUUACAUUUGACUGCAGUCGGGGAAAAUGAAAGAAAAAAUAUUUAA
ensembl:lncRNA